rnacentral:rRNA from 1 species
GUGGCGAGUGGCGGACGGGUGAGGAAUGCAUCGGAAUCUACUCUUUCGUGGGGGAUAACGUAGGGAAACUUACGCUAAUACCGCAUACGACCUACGGGUGAAGCCGGGGACCUUCGGGCCUGGCGCGAAUGAAUGAGCCGAUGCCCGAUUAGCUAGUUGGCGGGGUAAGAGCCCACCAAGGCGACGAUCGGUAGCUGGUCUGAGAGGAUGAUCAGCCACACUGGAACUGAGACACGGUCCAG